CCCAUAAUACUAAAAUUGGAACCAUAUGGAAAAGAUUAGCAUGGCCCCUGCACAAGGAUGACAAAAAAAUUCAUAAAGCAUUCCAUAUUUAA
rnacentral:snRNA from 1 species